GGCGAACGCUGGCGGCAGGCUUAACACAUGCAAGUCGAGCGGGCGUAGCAAUACGUCAGCGGCAGACGGGUGAGUAACACGUGGGAACGUACCCUUUGGUUCGGAACAACACAGGGAAACUUGUGCUAAUACCGGAUAAGCCCUUACGGGGAAAGAUUUAUCGCCGAAGGACCGGCCCGCGUCUGAUUAGCUAGUUGGUGAGGUAAUGGCUCACCAAGGCUACGAUCAGUAGCUGGUCUGAGAGGAUGAUCAGCCACACUGGGACUGAGACACGGCCCAGACUCCUACGGGAGGCAGCAGUGGGGAAUAUUGGACAAUGGGGGCAACCCUGAUCCAGCCAUGCCGCGUGAGUGAUGAAGGCCCUAGGGUUGUAAAGCUCUUUCGGCGGGGAAGAUAAUGACGGUACCCGCAUAAGAAGCCCCGGCUAACUUCGUGCCAGCCGCCGCAGUAA
rnacentral:rRNA from 1 species